GCCAUAGCUCAGUGAUACAGUGUCUGCUUUUAAUGCAAGAGGUUCCAGGUCCAAUCCCUGAUGUCUCCU